AUGCGAUACGUAAUGUGAAUUGCAGAAUUCAGUGAAUCAUCGAAUCUUUGAACGCAUAUUGCGCUCUCUGGUAUUCCGGAGAGCAUGCUUGUUUGAGUAUCAGUAAACACCUCAACUUCCAUAUCUUUUUUUGAAAUGGGAGUUGGACUUGAGUGAUCCCAACGCUUUUCCUCACCGAAAAGUGGCGGGUUACUUGAAAUGCAGGUGCAGCUGGACUUUUCUCUGAGCUAUAAGCAUAUCUAUUUAGUCUGCCUAAAAAACAGAUUAUUACCUUUGCUGCAGCUAACAUAAAGGAGAUUAGUUCUUGUGCUGACUGAUGCAGGAUUCACAAAGACAGCUUCGGCCGACUUUGUAAACUCGAUCUCAAAUCAAGUAAGACUACCCGCUGAACUUAA
rnacentral:misc_RNA from 1 species